rnacentral:rRNA from 1 species
AUUACCCAAUCCUGACACAGGGAGGUAGUGACAAGAAAUAACAAAGCAAGUCUCUCAGAGGCGCUGCGUUGGAAUGAGUAGAAUUUAAAUCUCUUUACGACCAUCAAUUGGAGGGCAAGUCUGGUGCCAGCAGCCGCGGUAAUUCCAGCUCCAAUAGCGUAUAUUAAAGUUGUUGCGGUUAAAAAGCUCGUAGUUGGAUUUCUGUCUAGGGUGGCCGGUACCCACUAUGUGAAGUAUCUGGUUCAGUCUGGGCAUCCUCUUGGGGAUCGUUCCUGUGCUUGAUUGCAUGGGGCGGAAUUCAAGACUUUUACUUUGAGGAAAUUAGAGUGUUCACGGCAAGCUUUCGCUUUGAAUACAUUAGCAUGGAAUAAUGAUAUAGGGCAUAAGUUCUAUUUUGUUGGUUUCUAGAACAUAUGCAAUGAUUAAUAGGGAUAAUUGGGGGCACUCGUAUUAACGCGUCAGAGGUGGAAUUCUUAGAUUGCGUUACGACGAACUACUGCGAAAGCAUUUGCCAAGGAUGUUUUCAUUGAUCAAGAACGAAAGUAUGGGGAUCGAAGACGAUUAGAUACCGUCGUAGUCUAUACCAUAAACUAUGCCAACUAGAGAUUGGAGGUCGUUUUUUUUAUGACUCCUUCACACCUUAUGAGAAAUCAAAGUUUUUGGGUUCCGGGGGGAGUAUGGUCGCAAGGCUGAAACUUAAAGGAAUUGA